rnacentral:lncRNA from 1 species
GACAAAUCUACCACCAACUUUCAAGCUGUAAGAUCAGAAUUUCGCGUCACAGUCUUCCCUCCACUCUCUCUGGCCCGGGAAACUCAACACUGUUUUCCCCCAAUGAUACUACACGUAAAGGUAACUGGACUUUUACAACAUCCUUAAUAUUUAACCAAAGCAAACUAAAAGGGAGAAAUGGAAGAGAGAUUAUUCACUAACAAGAUUCAUCGCAUCCAUUCUGAAAGCUGUAGGCCCAGCCAUGG